CUUGAAGAUACUCAUUUUGUUCCUAAUAUACAGUCUGAACCAAUACUGAGGAAAAGACAUUUCUUCCAUCCGUAGAAAUCUGUCCUAACCUUGGCCUUAAGGAAUCCCUAUGGGGGGAGGAGCUUUUCUUUCCUACUUCACCUGGAAACCUUUCAUUACAUGUUUGUGUUUGUUUGUUUGUUUGUAUGUUCUCUGCUUACCUCAGGUCUCCAGCCUUGGACAAACUCUUUCAAAUCGGGAGAUACCCCUUAGCCUACACCUCUCCUUAGCUCACAGAAGCUUCGUGUUGUUUCAUUGUCUUGAGAAUUUUAUAUCUGUGUGGAUUCUCCCUCUGUACACUAUUAAAUUUGAUUUUCUCCUGUUAA